rnacentral:rRNA from 1 species
UACGUAGGGUGCGAGCGUUGUCCGGAAUUAUUGGGCGUAAAGAGCUUGUAGGCGGUUUGUCGCGUCUGCCUGUGAAAAUCCGGGGCGUCAACCCCGGGCCUGCAGUGGGUACGGGCAGACUAGAGUGCGGUAGGGGAGACUGGAAUUCCCGGUGUAGCGGUGAAAUGCGCAGAUAUCGGGAGGAACACCGGUGGCGAAGGCGGCCUGCUGGGCUAUGGGCUGACACGUGAG